AUCGGUUGAAGAGUCCCUAAUAGGACGAAAUGCGCGUCCUGGAU
rnacentral:hammerhead_ribozyme from 1 species